GCCGUGCCUGGGCCUCGGGCAGCCGUCGUCGCCAUCUUCCCCUGGGGCUUCGCGACCACGCGGGUCACCAGCCUGUAGGACGGACACUCGAGUCCCAUAAUGUGUGCCCUGCAGGAUCUCCCGGACAUGGCAUAACCAACUCACUGUGGCACUAUCCCCCUCGCCUGGCAUCCGAACUACAUACAGAGAUUGAGAUGAGCCUGCUAAAGCCUGGGUGAAUUUUCUGCACAAUGUUUUAUUAGGGUCCUGACGAUACCGCAGUAAGCCCUUUUCAGGAACUGAUUUAACGACUACCCAACAGAAUUUCAGUAAAAUUGGAC